CCCUCUUUUGACGAUGCUCACCCGCAUAUCUCACAGGAAGCUUUGGACCUCCGCCCACCGGGUUCUCCUCUCAGCUCUCUGCUCCGCUGCCCUCACCUCUCUCACUCUCACACCUUCUCUUCUUCUGCCUUUGCUCUUCGUUCUACAGCUUAUGUUUAUUUCGAUUUCAAUUUUCUGCAUUGGAAGAGACAUUGCUUUUCUACUCAACCUGCACUAGAACUUCCGGCCGGUAAGAUCGUGGAUGUGCCGUUGGCACAAACUGGGUAAGGUGUUGUAGAAUGUGAACUUCUCAAAUGGCAUGUCCAAGAGAGCUACUAGAUUCUGAUCUUGAAAAAGGGAAACGUGCUGCAGUGUUAUGAACACCUGCUGUAAGGAGUCUUGCAAAGCACCAUGGUAUAGACAUAAAUGAAGUAUGUGGAACUGGAAAAGAUGGAAGGGUAUUGAAAGAAGAUGUGCUCAAUUUUGCUGCUAAUAAGGGAAUAAUUAGAAAUGUAUCUGCUGCUUUGCAUGCUGAUAAUGUAGAGAAGCCUCAAGGAGCAGAAGGAUAGAGUGUGACACCUCACACCUGGUAUAAAUCACCAUCAGAGGAUAGGAUACUUCCCCUAAGGGGAUACCAAAGAGCAAUGUAAAAUCAAUGUCUCUGGCUGCCAAGGUCCCACAUUUCCAUUAUGUAGAUGAGAUAAACUGCAAUGCUCUAGUGGAGCUUAAAACAGCGUUUCAGAAAAACAAUCCUUAUCCAGAUGUCAAGCACACUUUUCUGCCAAUAUUAGUCAAAUCAUUGUCAAUGGCCCUCACCAAGUACCCCUCUUUGAAUAGUUGCUUCAAAGAGGAUUCAAUGGAGGUCAUAUUCAAAGGUUCAGACAACAUUGAAGUUGCCAUGGCUACUCCAAAUGGUCUAGUUGUACCAAACAUAAAGAAUGUCCAGUCUCUUUCAAUCUUGCAGAUAGAUGGCAAUGAGCCCAAUUGUGGAAAACCCAGCAAAGAGGAGGAAUGUUCCUGCAGCCCCAAGUGCAUGAAUGAGUGACAAGAAUGUCAAACUCACUAUGAGAUUAGCACACCAGUUUGAAACUGCUGCUAUGCCUCCACAAAUUCCCCUGAAUCUCAAUGGGUAAAUCUCUGAGUUCAAAACCCAAGGCACUGAUCCCAUUCCAGGAGAGUAGGCUAGGAUAUAUAGUCCCAACACUAUAACUGCAAGCACUCCAAUUUUGCUUGGGCAUCCAUCAGAAAACCACACGCGCUUUUGCUCACCGCACACCGCUCUGACUUCCUUUGUUUCCGCCAGGCAUGCUCCCGGAAGAUG